AUGGGAUUUUUGGGGAAAAAUGGGAUUUUUGGGGGGAAAAAUGGGAUUUUGGGGGAAAAAUGGGAUUUUGGGGAAAAAAAAUGGGAUUUUUGGGGGGAAAAAUGGGAUUUUUGGGGGGAAAAAAUGGGAUUUUUGGAGGUGGCUGUGGAGAUUUUUGGGGAAAAAUGGGAUUUUGGGGAAAAAUGGGAUUUUGGGGGGAAAAUGGGAUUUUGGGGGGAAAAAUGGGAUUUUUGGGGGGAAAAUGGGAUUUUUGGGGGAAAAAAUGGGAUUUUCAGGAAAAAAAUGGGAUUUUUGGGGAUGGAUUUGGAGGUUUUUUUGGGGGAAAAGGUUGAGGAUUUUGGGUGGAAUUUUGGAAUUUUUUUGGGGAAAAAUACGGAAUUUUGGGGGGAAAAAACGGGAUUUUUGGUUAAAAAAUGGGAGUUUUUGGGGGAAAAAUGGGAUUUUGGGGAAAAAUGGGAUUUUGGGGGGAAAAAUGGGAUUUUGGGGGGAAAAAAUGGGAUUUUUGGGGAAAAAAAAUGGGAUUUUUGGGGGGAAAAAUGGGAUUUUUGGGGGGAAAAAAUGGGAUUUUGGGGAAAAAAAAUGGGAUUUUUGGAGGUGGCUGUGGAGAUUUUUGGGGAAAAAUGGGAUUUUGGGGGGAAAAAAUGGGAUUUUUGGGGGGAUUUUGGGGAGGAAAAUGGGAAUUUUGGGGGGAAAAUGGGAUUUUGGGGGAAAAAUGGGAUUUUUGGGGAAAAAUGGGAUUUUGAAGGGAAAAAUGGGAUUUUUGGGGGGGAAAAAUGGGAUUUUGGGAAAAAACCAGGAUUUUGGGGGGAAAAAAAUGGGAUUUUGGGGGAAAAAAUUUGGGUUUGGGGGGAAAAAUGGGAUUUUGGGGGGAAAAAUGGGAUUUUGGGGGGAAAAAUGGGAUUUUUGGGGAAAAAAUGGGAUUUUUGGGGAUGGAUUUGGAGGUUUUUUUGGGGGAAAAGGUUGAGGAUUUGGGGUGGAAUUUGGGAUUUUUUUGAGGGGAAAUGGGGUUUUGGGGGGAAAAAUGGGAUUUUGGGGAAAAAUGGGAUUUUUGGGGGGAAAAAUGGGAAUUUGGGGGAGAAAAUGGGAUUUUGGGGGGAAAAUGGGAUUUUGGAAGGGAAAAACGGGAAUUUUGGGGGGAAAAAUGGGAUUUUGGAAGGGAAAAAUGGGAUUUUUGGGGAUGGAUUUGGAGAUUUUGGGGAGGAAAAGGUUGAGAAUUUUGGGGGAGAAUUGUGGAUUUUUGAAAGAAAAAAGAAAAUUUAG
rnacentral:lncRNA from 1 species